rnacentral:rRNA from 1 species
CGGGUGAGUAACGCGUGGGUAACCUGCCUCAUACCGGUGGAUAACAGUUAGAAAUGGCUGCUAAUACCGCAUAAGACCACAGCACCGCAUGGUGCAGGGGUAAAAACUCCGGUGGUAUGAGAUGGACCCGCGUCUGAUUAGCUAGUUGGUGAGGUAAUGGCCACCAAGGCGACGAUCGGUAGCCGGACUGAGAGGUUGAACGGCCACAUUGGGACUGAGACACGGCACAGACUCCUACGGGAGGCAGCAGUGGGGAAUAUUGCACAAUGGGGGAAACCCUGAUGCAGCGACGCCGCGUGGAGGAAGAAGGUCUUCGGAUUGUAAACUCCUGUUGUUGAGGAAGAUAAUGACGGUACUCAACAAGGAAGUGACGGCUAACUACGUGCCAGCAGCCGCGGUAAAACGUAGGUCACAAGCGUUGUCCGGAAUUACUGGGUGUAAAGGGAGCGCAGGCGGGAGAACAAGUUGGAAGUGAAAUCCAUGGGCUCAACCCAUGAACUGCUUUCAAAACUGUUUUUCUUGAGUAGUGCAGAGGUAGGCGGAAUUCCCGGUGUAGCGGUGGAAUGCGUAGAUAUCGGGAGGAACACCAGUGGCGAAGGCGGCCUACUGGGCACCAACUGACGCUGAGGCUCGAAAGUGUGGGUAGCAAACAGGAUUAGAUACCCUGGUAGUCCACACCGUANACGAUGAUUACUAGGUGUUGGAGGAUUGACCCCUUCAGUGCCGCAGUUAAC